UCCGUUAUGGUGUAGUGGCUAACAUUAUCGCCUCUCAUUGUCGUAGGAUGCACAGUGCGCGAUAGCCCAGGGUUCGAUUCCCUGUAACGGAA